UGUGUUGCCUUGUUGGCAUAUGAACAACCUUGCGUGGGAGUCAUCGGUUGGAUAUCUGCGUGAAUAGUCACAUGGCUUACACAGUGAAUGCUAUGAUCUUGUCAACGAAUCCCAACUUGAAAGACUCGCAUGGUUGCUUGCAAUCAUGUUUUGAAAGGCCUACUCAGGCAGCUAACUGCAUACUGCUUAGAGAGAAGGUCCCUAAAUGGGGGGAUCAAGGUGGUCAUGAAGCUAGCUUUCUGCAAGAGAAAUCAACAUUGAUAAGAAGGCAAAGUGUUAGACGUUGAUCAUGUGUUAGUGCUCACUCUUCUCAUCUUCCCCGUGUUCAUAGCCUAGCUGUUCAUCUUUACCCAAGCUACUGCAAGUGAUGCGAUUAUUUUUAGGUGUAUAGAGGCUCCAUGGCUACUUGGGUGAUCCGUGGUACUGCGCUUCAGUACUCUGUGGCCGGGAAGAAUGAGAUGUUCUCCAUGAACGAAAAAGUUUAAUUGAACGGUGGUUUUAGUAUGAAAAUUCUUUCAUCAUCUGGAAGACGUUUCACCUGCAUGAUCUGGAUGGAACCGUCUUUGCAUUUCUCUUUCAGGAAUGCUAGAUCAAUGGUUCCAACUGCAUGGAACCGGCCGGGUUUAUGAUGCUCUUCAUUUAUUGCAGACCGAGCCAUCGAUUCAGGGAAUAUUGUAGCUUUGGAGAAUAUCGAAGACCAAUGAAAAUUACUUUAUGGCCAAAGACUUGUGGCCUAAUUAACAUAACAUCCAGCCUCCAAAAUGGAAGUUUAGAGAUCGAAACCCCUCUCCCUAAUUCAAAAAAAAAAAAAAAUUUUGAGACUUUAUGAAGGGGGAAAACUUUUGUCUUUGAAUGAUAUCCUUCUACCAUUUAUUUUUGUAUAUUGAACUUGUAUCAUUGAAAAUAAGGAUUGGUACAAGAAUAGCGAUUGCAAUUUGCAUGCAUGCUUGUGAAUUGGCGACUUAACACAUAAUUGGUAGUGCUUGUAAUCUUGCUCUGAUGAUAUACAGAGUGUGUGUUUUCUUCAUAUUUUUUCUCUAAAUUUACCUAUAGUAAAGUCAUGCAGGAAUAUUUCUUUUCUCUAUCAAGGUGAUAUAUGUUUCUAAUAGGGGUACUUUUUGUAUAGAGAAUGGUCAUACCAUUAUCAUCAGACAAAGCAGUUUGGAAUGCUGCUCUGAAUAAUGAGGUGGUCCAGGAGCUCAGGGAGUCCUACUAACUGUGGUUGUAACUUGUUUAUGUUCAUAAAAGGUCUCGGCUUUUUUUGUGAUCUUGAAUGUAAUAUUGGUGUCAAUGGUAAUUAUCAGUAUUGUGGUUGUUUUUUAUGCAAAUAAUUGACCUAUAAUUUGAUGACACCCGAGAUUAGUCGGGACUUGUUCUCGGACACCCUGUGCCAAUAUACUAAAAAAACAAAGGUUGACCUAUAAUUUGAUGACAUGAUAGGUGGUUUUCCCUACUAGGUGACUUGUAUUUUACAUUGAUUUUACAUAUUGUUCUCUAUUUCACAAAAAAAAUUGCAAAAUAGAGAAGCCAUUGAGAGGUCAGCAAAAGUAGUUUUACAAGCUACCUUGUCAGCAAUUAUAGUUACAAAUUUACUCCUAUCUCUCUCUACAUAUGUGCGCCAAUACUAGGUUACUAACGUUGAAGGUUCUCCCGCCAUAAA